UUUUUCCACUCCCUGCCAGUACUCCAGCGUAUCCUCAAGUGUGCGUAUUCAAGUUAACCACACAGAGGAAAUAUCAAGCUUACAAAAAGGAAAAAAACUACUGGUGUUACAUCCAACCUGCCUUGCAUCGUUUUCUCACUCCUUGCCGUUCGGGUCUUCUGAACGAGACUCUGUCUGCUCACCCAACAUUCACUUCCCCCAAACCACAUCACCCCUACAGUUCCUUCAGAUACUGUAUAUUGUGUUUCUUUUUGAACCGUAUAUUAUCUUCAGGUGACUGUUAAAAGUUUAAAAGAAUGGCUGUAUACUUUUAAACACAUGUGUACAAGUUGAUAAACUCAAACAAUCCGGUUUCUUACUUACUAUGAUUCUAAAACAAUAAUAAAAAUAUCUUUUUGGUCCCUUAGAGAAGAGUUGGGAGAGUAAAGUCAGACCCCCCAUGAUGUACCCAUUAGCAAGGCACUUGUAGCGUACAAAAAUAAAGCCCUACUCUCAGUAAGACUUCCCUAGAUAAAUAACAAUAAGAGAUAGCAAUAGGAAAUACUUACCUAUCCUGCUAAAGAGUGCCACCUGCAGUCCGACUGAAAACAUGGAGCCCGACUUUCACAUGAAAACAACGGAACCAGCACAGAGC
ensembl:lncRNA